UAAGCCGGGCACUCUGGAUGGACUGCCGGCGACAAGCCGGAGGAAGGUGGGGACGACGUCAAGUCAUCAUGGCCCUUAUGUCCAGGGCGACACACGUGCUACAAUGGCCGGCACAACGGGAAGCGAAGGGGCGACCCUGAGCGGAUCCCCAUAAAAGCCGGUCCCAGUUCGGAUUGCAGUCUGCAACUCGACUGCAUGAAGUUGGAAUCGCUAGUAAUCGUGGAUCAGCCAAGCCGCGGUGAAUACGUUCCCGGGCCUU
rnacentral:rRNA from 1 species